rnacentral:rRNA from 1 species
GAUGAACGCUGGCGGCGUGCCUAAUACAUGCAAGUCGAGCGAACAGACGAGGAGCUUGCUCCUCUGACGUUAGCGGCGGACGGGUGAGUAACACGUGGAUAACCUACCUAUAAUACUGGGAUAACUUCGGGAAACCGGAGCUAAUACCGGAUAAUAUAUUGAACCGCAUGGUUCAAUAGUGAAAGACGGUUUUGCUGUCACUUAUAGAUGGAUCCGCGCCGCAUUAGCUAGUUGGUAAGGUAACGGCUUACCAAGGCAACGAUGCGUAGCCGACCUGAGAGGGUGAUCGGCCACACUGGAGCUGAGACACGGUCAAGACUCCUACGGGAGGCAGCAGUAGGGAAUCUUCCGCAAUGGGCGAAAGCUUGACGGAGCAACGCCGAGUGAGUGAUGAAGGUCUUCGGAUCGUAAAACUCUGUUAUUAGGGAAGAACAAAUGUGUAAGUAACUAUGCACGUCUUGACGGUACCUAAUCAGAAAGCCACGGCUAACUACGUG